AAGUGGCAUAUCCUUGAGAUGCUCAGAGGGGACUUAGCAUGAGUUGACAAGUUUUAAUGCGUGGACCUUGUGAUUUAAGUGCCCUUAGUAUAGUCUAAGUGUAAUGUUUAACUUCACCCUUAAAAACUAACUUGUUCAGAGAGGCAUAAGCUUUCAUAAGCAACAGAUUACUUUGUCAGAUGUUAUACAUGGACUUAAAGAGAGCAAAGGUUCUAAAUAAAAGGGAAUGAAGUAUUUUAAAUACAAACAACAGGGAAAAGGGAGGCAAGGGCAGGAGAAGGGUGUGAGUGAUUAGAAAAAACAGCUCUGGGAAGUGCUGUACCACAAGACAGAAGCAAUUAACAACCCAUGUUGAACUGGGUGUCCAGUUCUGCCCUGUACUAUAAAAUUGGUUUUGUAAGCAAGAGGCUCAUUGUAGAAUGAACUACCAGAGGAGUCUGGUUCCAGUUAAAAUCAGACUAAUUUUAACUGUGAGAAAUACUGGUUUGCUAAAGCCAUCUAUUGGUAAAUGCUUUAGUCCAGCACUGAAAUAAAACUAAUACUAAAAUUAUGCUACGACUUGAAAUAAGUAAAGAGUCAAGUCCUCUAUGAAAAAAAUCAUGUUAUAAAACAACUGCAAUUUACCUGUUCAAAGAUUAGAUCCUAUGGGGCUGACAAAAACACCACAGAGAGAUAUCCCUAAUAAUUUUUCAUAGUAAUAUUUGCCAAGAAUAUUAAUGGCAGAUUUUAAUUAGCUUUAAAUGCGACAUGACUUUAGAGAAUUGGACAAGAUGGAAAAAAGCAAUCUAGUAUUGAGUGAAAGGUAUAAUAAUAUCUUCAAUAAGGCAGACAGAGAAUAUAUUGGAAUCUAAACAAGCAAUUCUCCAUUCCAGGAAGCAGAAGGUAACAUAGAAAUGUAUCAUCCUGGGCAAGAAAAAUGUAUAGAAGAGCUUUCAUAAUCUUUCUGGCGAUACUGUUAUGGUCAGUGACAUUUUUAAAAGAUGUGUUUUAUUUUUUGUAACAUACCCGAUUAAAUAGUUUCCAACCAUUAUGUUGAGGACAAGAUAGGCUGAGACGGUCCAGGAUGUUAACCUUUCCCUCUUUCAAAGUAAACCGGUUGGAAGAGAGAUAUGAACGUAUGUUGUGGACUGGCAGAACAUGUGUUGAUAAGGACUUAGUGCCCAACAUGAUUUGAUGAAGUAACCUUGUCACUUUACACUGCUUUGGCUGUGUAAGCAGCCUUAAACCAGGUGUAAAUAAAAUCUGACAGUCUUCAGGCCCUUUAACACUGCUAAGAGUCCUUAGUGUACAUGAAAAGUACAAACCAUCCACUGUUAAUAACUAUAGUGAUUGAACAAUGGUAAUUAUUCAGCUAAAUAAAAAGCUUUCAGAAUG